GACGAACGCUGGCGGCGUGCUUAACACAUGCAAGUCGAGCGGAAAGGCUCCUUCGGGGGUACUCGAGCGGCGAACGGGUGAGUAACACGUGAGUAAUCUGCCCCUCACUUUGGGAUAGCCACCGGAAACGGUGAUUAAUACCGGAUAUGACGCGGCCUCGCAUGGGGUUGUGUGGAAAGUUUUUCGGUGAGGGAUGUGCU
rnacentral:rRNA from 1 species